AUUGAACGCUGGCGGCAGGCCUAACACAUGCAAGUCGAGCGGGGUUUUCGGACCUAGCGGCGAACGGGUGAGUAAUGCGUAGGAAGCUACCCGAUAGAGGGGGAUACCAGUUGGAAACGACUGUUAAUACCGCAUAAUGUCUACGGACCAAAGUGUGGGACCUUCGGGCCACAUGCUAUCGGAUGCGCCUACGUGGGAUUAGCUAGUUGGUGGGGUAAUGGCUCACCAAGGCGACGAUCCCUAGCUGGUUUGAGAGGAUGAUCAGCCACACUGGAACUGAGACACGGUCCAGAAUCCUACGGGAGGCAGCAGUGGGGAAUAUUGGACAAUGGGCGCAAGCCUGAUCCAGCCAUGCCGCGUGUGUGAAGAAGGCCUUCGGGUUGUAAAGCACUUUCAGUAGGGAGGAAGGGUGUUGUGUUAAUAGCACAGCAUUUUGACGUUACCUACAGAAGAAGCACCGGCUAACUCUGUGCCAGCCGCCGCCGUAAGAC
rnacentral:rRNA from 1 species